CACUCUCUCAGCUCCUCAUUACUGAUUCGCCCACGCGAGCAGCACUCCGUCACUGGCCAUGGGUUUCCACGUGAGGCAUAGGCCUGCCUUAUAUAAAGAGACUGACGGCACUUUCAGCCAAUAGUCACAUAAGCAUCUUUGUGCCCGCCUACUUUCAUUGGAAACGCAAUUUUCUGAGCCAGUCUGAUUGGUCGAGGAGAGACUUGGCUGGUGGAGUUUGAAUUGAGGUCAUUGCUCGCGCUGGAGAUUCAGGGCAACAGUGUGAGGAAACACUGAACCAAAGUAAGUGCAGUGUGUCAGGCGAUACUGGAGGCAGAACCGAGAAGCCCAGGAACCUUACUGUACAGAAGUUCGCCUUGGGGGGAAAAAAGGUUGGACUGACAGGGCUGCUGCAAAUGCAGGACGUGGGACCACUGGAGUGGAUUGGAUAAUGAUUGUUGCUGUGGGGGUCAUCUGACUGAGAAGACACUAAAUUCCAAGCUAACAAGAUACCCAGGCCUAAUUUGAUUCCACUGUGUCAUAAUGCCACUGAGAUGAUGGGGUAAUUUUCUUAAUAACAGCACGAAUGCAGAAGUCCAUCUUCAUGUCUGAAGACGCAAACUCAAAACCGUACCUAUUUUCCUCUCUGGAGGGCCAGGACCAGGCCACUGGCUGCAGUUCCAUGGCAACGCUUCAUCGAAUUGGCAGUUUUGCAGAGGCAGGAGAGCUUGGACUGGCCUCAGAGGGCAGUGACAGCAGCAGUCAGGACCCUUCUGCCUCACCCCACAGUGACCGCAAGAUGGCACACUCCUUGCAUGAGGAUGUGGAGAUGAAGAGCAGUGGUUCCAGUGGAAGUGGGACUGAAUCACAAGGAAAUGAGUCUCAUGGCAAUGAGUCACAUGGAAACUCAUCAAACGGGAAUGAAUCCACCGGAAGUUCUAAUGGCAAUAGCAAGGAUUCGGCCCUUUUGGAAUCGUCAGGGAGCAACAAGAGCUCCAACUCCCACAGUCCCUCACCUCCCAGCAGCUCCAAUGCCUUCAGUCUGCUAAGUGCAAGUUCUGAACAGGACAACCCUUCCACUAGUGGAUGCAGUAGUGAAGAGUCUGCCAAGGCGAAAACACAGAAGGAGCUGAUAAAAACCCUCAAAGAGCUGAAGCUCCAUUUACCAGCAGAUAAAAGGAACAAGGGCAGCAAGUCCACCACUCUGAACACACUGAAGUAUGCCCUUCGCUGUGUCAAACAGGUUGAAGCUAAUGAGGAGUACUACCAGUUGCUUAUGAUCAAUGACAGCCAGCCGUCUGGCCUGGAUGUAUCCUCAUACACGAUAGAAGAGAUCGACAGCAUCACGUCAGAAUACACGCUGAAAAAUACAGACAUGUUUGCAGUGGCAGUAUCUCUGAUCACGGGCAAGAUUGUGUACAUCUCAGAUCAGGCGGCGUCCAUUCUCAACUGUAAGCGGCACGUGUUCAAGAAUGCCAAGUUUGUGGAGUUUUUAACACCGCAGGACAUCAGCGUGUUCUACAGCUUCACCACACCAUAUAGGCUACCAUCUUGGAGCAUGUGUACAGGAGCUGAAUCUUCACCUUCUGACUGCAUGCAGGAAAAGUCAUUCUUCUGUCGCAUCAGUGGAGGUAAGGAGUGUGAGGGAGACCUGCAGUACUACCCAUUCCGUAUGACUCCUUACCUAAUGAAGGUGCAAGACACAGAGCACACUGAAGACCAGUUCUGCUGCCUUCUGCUGGCUGAAAGAGUGCAUUCCGGCUAUGAAGCUCCAAGGAUCCCCACGGACAAACGCAUCUUCACCACCACACACACCCCAAGCUGUGUGUUUCAGGAUGUUGAUGAAAGAGCUGUCCCGUUGCUUGGAUAUCUACCACAAGACCUGAUUGGUACACCAGUACUUCUGCACCUGCACCCAAACGAUAGGCCAUUGAUGCUCAGCAUUCACAGGAAGAUCUUGCAGUACGCUGGUCAGCCGUUUGACCACUCAUCCAUUCGUUUCUGUGCUCGAAAUGGAGAGUACAUCACCAUGGACACCAGCUGGUCCAGCUUCGUCAACCCCUGGAGCCGCAAAGUGUCCUUUGUCAUUGCACGACACAAAGUCCGCAUGGGUCCGGUAAAUGAGGACGUCUUUGCAGCUCCAGCCACAGCUGAGGGUAAAGCAAUGGACUCGGAUAUCCAGGAUAUCACAGAACAGAUUCAUCGGCUCCUGCUUCAGCCAGUACAUAAUAAUGGCUCAAGUGGCCAUGGAAGCCUAGGCAGUAACGAUCAUCUGGUGAGUGUGGCCUCAUCCAGCGACAGCAAUGGAAAUGGGGUCCGUCCACGUGCAGAUGAUGAAGAGGGUCGAGCCAAACCUAGGACAUUUCAGGAGAUAUGUAAAGGUGUUCAUAUGCAGAAGAGCCAGGGACAGCAGUUCAAAAAGAGUCCAAGCACAGAACUGCUCCAGAAGAGUCCGGUAGUUCGGCCCAAAGACUCAGCAUACCCAGUAAACUGGAGAGAGAGUGUGGAGGAGCAGCAGGCCACCAUACAGGAAGAACUCGCAUUGAAAGACCAGACUGUCUACUCAUACCAGCAGAUCAGCUGCCUGGACAGUGUAAUUAGGUAUCUAGAAAGCUGCAAUGUGCCUAUCACAGUGAAACGUAAAUGCCAGUCGUCCUCCAAUACCACUUCCUCUAACUCAGACGAGGACAAACAGAAGGCAGCUGAAAGCUCUAUGCAGGUGGCUGAAGCACCUGGACACCUGAAGUCCCAAGCUGGUCUUUCACCUCUGGAAGUGUCGAAGAAGCCGAGCGGCUCGGGCGUGGUGGGCACUUCGCUCACUCCCCUGGCACUGCCCAGCAAAGCUGAGAGUGUGGUGUCCAUAACCAGCCAGUGCAGCUACAGCAGCACCAUCGUACAUGUGGGGGACAAAAAAACCCAGCCGGAGUCAGAAAUCAUUGAGGAUGGACCCAGUGCUGGAGACACAGCAGAAGGCCCCACUCCAGCCACUCCUCCUGCUACAGUUUCACCUCCCAGCCAGGAACGAGAAGCAUAUAAGAAACUAGGCCUGACCAAGCAGGUGCUGGCAGCACACACGCAGAAGGAAGAGCAAGCCUUUCUCAACCGCUUCAAGGAACUAAGGGGGGUUCACACUUUCAAAGGAGACUACCUGGAGAAGCAGAAAGGACAGGCCACGUCUGAUGCCGGACCUUCUCGUGUUGGUAAACAGGGGGGGAGAGCAGAACCUGCCACUGGCCGGAGGGGCCGCAACAGAAAGUCCAAAUCCAAGCGCAUCAAACAGAACGAAUCGUCAGAUAGCACCAUCUCACAGCGGAGGCAGCUGUUCAGGCAAGAACUGCAAGGACUGAACCAGACUUCAUGGUCUCCUUCAGACACCUCACAGUCUGCCUUUCCCAUCGCAUACCCAGCCGUUGUGCCUGCAUACCCCCUCCAGGUGUACCCAGGGACCAAUACCAUGCCACCCAGGGUGGAUGCCCCACUCUCAGGAUUUGGAGACAGCCAGUGUACCCAGAAUCCACGCUUCCCCAUGCAACCCAUGCAGCCCCAGUUCCCUGCCCCUCUUGUCACACCCAUGGUGGCACUUGUGCUGCCCAACUACAUUUUCCCACAACUAGGAAGUGCCCCUCGGCAGCCUUUCUACCCUGAGCAGGCUUUGUUCCCACCCACUCAGGUUCCAUUCCAACCCCAGACGACGUUUCCUGUACAGACUCAGUUCACGCCACAAAAUCCUUUUCCAGCUCAGCCAUUUCCUUUCACGCCACUGGACAAGCAACCCAAGCCCACAGAACCAGAAACGAGGGAGGAGCCUUCACGGAGCUCCACCCCUCAGUCACUGGGUGGACGGGACCAAUCAUCUCCACCCUUGUUCCAGUCACGGUGCAGUUCACCACUGCAGCUCAACCUUUUGCAGCUGGAGGAGAGCCAACGCACCAGUGAAAGACAGGAAACCACAGCAACUUCUACUGGUACUCAAGGGAGCACUGCAGUGGAGAAAGGAGCAAACGCUGGCACGCAGACCAAGACAGACAAAGAGCCAGAAGAUGCAGAUGACCUGCACCACUGUGAUGCUUUCUCUUCAUCCAGUGAUCUGUUGGAUAUCCUCAUGCUGGAGGACUCUCGCUCCGGCACAGGGUCAGCCACAUCCGGGUCCCUGGGUUCUGCUUUUAAUGGCUGUGGCACGUCAGCUUGUGGAAGUGGUGGCUCUGCUAGUGGAACUGGGAGCAGUCACACCAGCAAUAACAGCAGUAACUACUUUGGCAGUGUGGACUCUUCACAGAAGUCCCUUAAGGCCAAGAGAAAAGGAGGUGGUGUUUCAGGAUCCUUGGAAUUAGAGGAGAGUGAGAGUUUGAUCAAAUAUGUCCUGCAGGAUCCUCUGUGGCUCCUCGCUGCCAACGUGGACAAGGCUGUAAUGAUGACAUACCAGUUGCCCUCUCGAUGCCCUGAUCCAGAACAGAAGAGUUGUGAAGGCAACCGUCACUCGUGUCGCAGAAAUCCAAGCCAUAGAAUCUAUGCAACUCAGCCAGGUAAAGCUCAACAAUAUGGAAUGCCAAAGGCGCCGAAAGGAGAGACUAUGGUACUACUUCAGUAGUCCUGAACACCAGGUGGUGCAGUGCUCCUCAUGACCCUCCGUGAAGUGAGCACCUCUCCUGAGCGAGCACCUUCCAAAUCUCGCUCCUCCUUGGUGAGUCCAGUCAGUUUCCUUUCUCACCCCAAUUUUGUUCUAACAGUUCAUAUUGCGCACUCAGGAAAUACUUCUUCUGUUUCAGCGCUGAUCGUCUCCGGUGCAGCUGGGAACUUCAUCGACUGUACCCAUGCUGAGAAGCGGGGUGUCAGUCACCCACUGUACCAAAGCUAUGUAAAUACUGUAGGCUCUGUGUCAGUGCCUUAAACCAAGAGUGCAUCUCUCUCCUCAUCACCAUCACAACCACGUUCCUGGUGGUGCUGGGUUUCCUGUGGGUGCAGACCCACGACCCCCAGCUCUCUUGGAAGGAGUGAGAAAUCACACGCUGGUUGGCACAAUGCCAUGCCAACUGUCUCUUCACCCCCUCAGUCAAUGUGGCCUCAAACUCUAUUGAAAGUAUCAGCAAGGUUUUUCUUCAUGGAGAAAAAUGGGGCGGCCCACGGCCAUGUAUCGAUUACCGUGGGCUCAAGUGAAUCAAGUCACCAUCAAGUAUCAUUAUCCCCUGCCUCUGGUUCCAGCAGCUCUGGAGCAACUACGAGAAGCUAAGAUAUUCAAGAAAUUUGAUCCACAAAGCAUCUACAACCUUGUGCAUAUCCGUGAAGGAGACAAGUGGAAGACGGCCUUCAGCACCACCUCUUGCCACUUUGAGUACUGCGUAAUGCUGUAUGGGCUAUCUUCGAUGCCAGGAGUAUUUCAGUGCCUGAUUUAAUGAUGUCUUGCAGGAGACAUUGGGGAAACUUCUUCAUAGCCUACAUCGAUGAAAUACUGCUAUACUCUCCACAUAAAUCCAGCAUGUCAAGAAGGUAUUAUCUCAGCUUCUCAAACAUCAGCUCUGUGUAAAAGGAGAAAUGUGUGAGUUCCAUGUGCACAAGGUGGCUUUCCUGGGCAACAUCAUAGGGCCAGAGGGGGUGCUCAUAGACCAGGACAAGGUUGUAGCGGUAACAAACUGGCCGGUGCCAGUUAAGGAGUUACAGUGUUUUUGGGCUUCACCAACUUCUAUUGAUGUUUCAUCCAGGGCUUCAGCAGUAUAGUAUCUCCACUAACCGCCCUGUUAAAAAAGGGAAUCAAAAAGUUGCAGUGGAACCCCUCAGCAGACCAAGCGUUCUCGCAACUCAAGGAAGCUUUCACCACAGCACCCAUAUUAAAACACCCCAAUCCCUCCAAGUCAUUCAUAAUGGUAGGUAGAUGCAUCCAAAAUGGAUGUUGGGGCCAUCCUCUCACAGCAGUCAGAAGAAAAGCUCAAGCUCCACCCAGUGGCCUCCUUUUCUAGGAAACUGUCCCCUGCUGAGAGAAACUACGACGUCGGAAAUGAAAGCUCCUUGCUGUUAAACUAACCCUGGAAGAAUGGCAUCACUGGCUGGAGGGGGCCCUCCACUCAUUCAAGCUUUACAUGGAUUACAAGAACCUAUGGUAUAUCAAGUCAGCCAGGAGAUUGAAAUUUCAUCAGGCACUCUGGGCCCUGUUCUUUGCCCACUUUGACUUCACUCUCUAGUAUCGCCAAGGUCCAAGAACACCAAAGCAGACUCCAUCUCCUACAUGUAUCCAGCACCCUCUUGGGAGCACUUGGAGGAGCGCAUCUUGCCCAAAUCAAGUUUUGUAGGAGCUCUCACCUGUGACAUUGACAGGGAGAUCGAGGGUGUUCAGGAGGUGAGGAUCCCCACUCAGUGCCCAGUGGGGAAAAGUUUGUGUCGAUUCCCAUACUGGAAAAAUUAAGGGCUCACACCUUCCCUGCCACACGACACACCAACUACUUCUUAGUAGUACAGGUGGUCAUAGAUCCUGCAAGACAUCCAUAGACUUAUCUCAUCCUGCUCAGUCUUUGCAAAAGCCAAAGUACCUUGCACCCUGCCAGCAGGCAAGCUCCUCCCACUUCCUACACCCCAAAGAGCCAUGGUCACACUUAGCCAUAGACUUCAUAACUGAUUUUCCCACAUUGCAGAGAAAAACAGUCAUCAUGCUGAUCAUGGACUGGUUUUCCAAGUCCCUAUGCCUCCCCUCAGACUGCCGUCAGCCUUUGAAAUGGCAGCACUUGUGUUCAAUGUUUAGGUACUUUGGCAUCCCUGAAGACAUAGUGAGUGACCGGGGGGCCCAGUUCACGUCUCGAGUGGGUGGUGGGGGAUCAUGGAAAAACUGGACGUCUCUGUAAUCCUGACAUCCGGCUACCACCCCCUAUCUCCCCCAAAACCAGGAGCAUUUCCAGUGGGUCUUCUAUGCUGACAACAGGAGGACUGAGCACAAUUCCUCCUAUGGGCAGAUUAUGCUCUCGAGCAUUCAGCAACCUAACUCUCACCUUUCCAGUGCCGCCUGGGUUAUCCACCACCUCUGUUCCCAUGGAACGCCAAACUUACAGACUCCCCCACUGUGGACAGCUGGUUCCAGUGGAGUGAGUAGGUGUGGGAACAGGCUCACCAACAGCCAAACAGCAGAAGUAAUAAAUUUAUAAUAGAAAAAAAGAUGGCGUGGAGAGACAAUCAACUAUGAACCAGGUGAUCGGAUAUGGCUCUCCACCAGAGACCUAUGGGUCGCUGAAGGAUGCAGAAAGCUGACACAUCACUAUAUUGGCCCAUUCAAAAUUCUCAAACACAUAAACAACAUUACGUACAAGCUGGAUCUACCACACAACAGCCAUCCAGCCCCUUCCUUUCAUGUCUUCCACCUUAAACCAGUCCCCUCACAGAAGGCAUUCCUCCACCCUCCCAGCACCGCUGGAUAUCACACACCACCCUAAUCGCAAAGCGACAUCCAGCAAGUGUUGCGGGACGACUUAGAGAAACUGAGGCAGAUGCAGAAGAGUCAGCCACGGUUUUCUGAGGAGCAGAAGAGGGAGCUGGCUGAGGUUCACCCCUGGGUGAGAGGAGGAAGUCUACCCAAAGCCA